rnacentral:lncRNA from 1 species
AGUUCAAGAGAUUGCUAUUCGAAUGAAGAAUAUGAUUCAUAGUUAGAUGAGUUUACCCAGUAAACACCAAGCAUAGUUGAUUGCAGAUUUAGAUGAAGAAAAAAAAAACAUAUCCACGUUUAUAAGUUUGAUUGAGGCAAUCAUAUAAACACAAAGUGCAGAAUUCACAUGUGUGUCAAAAUUAGGGAGCACUAUCAAUACUUGAAAGUUUACAGCAAGAACUGAACUACAAUCUCACUUAUCUACAUGGGAAAAGAGAGAUAGCUAAGACUUACAAUGACACUGCACUACAGCCACUACUAUGUCAAUUGUCAACGAAUUAACCACAACAGCUGAGCACCAAAAUUAGAAAAAAAUACAAGUUAGAGGUGAGAAAGGUGUCAUGCUCAUACCUAAACAGAUUUAUACAACAAGGGCAAAAGGGUGUGCUCUACACAGUGGUAGAGCAAGCACAAAUGAUGCCGAUGACUCUUUUCAUCUCCAGCGUCAUUUUGGCUGCUGCUUCUACCUUGUGUAUAAAGGUCUUGCUAUUGGAUUAUCUUGUACAGUGCUUUUGAAGAGAGACUCGGAUAACAUAUGUAUGCUUCAGUUAUUGCUCGGGGUGAUGAUGGUGCGUUGCUUACUUACUAUAUACAUAUAAAAAAUAAAUAUGUCCAUUCUGAGAAGCGGUGAAGCUCAUUCAGCACUGAUCACAGUUCCGGGUGAAACUUGUACUUCCUUCAACUGGACAUCAUAUGAUGAUUGGACCUCUUUCUGCAAACAUAUAUGUAAACUCUUUCAGUAACCAAACAUUUCAGGAAUGAAAGAGAA